AUUGAACGCUGGCGGCGUGCUUAACACAUGCAAGUCGAUCGGUAACGCGGGGGCAACCCUGGCGACGAGAGGCGGACGGGUGAGGAACGCUUGGGAAUCUGCCCUUCAGCGGGGGACAACACGGGGAAACUCGUGCUAAUACCGCAUACGCUCCACGAAGGAAGGCCGGGGACCGCAAGGCCUGGCACUGAAGGAUGAGCCCAAGUCGGGUUAGCUAGUUGGCGGGGUAACGGCCCACCAAGGCGACGAUCCGUAGCUGGUCUGAGAGGACGAUCAGCCACACUGGGACUGAGACACGGCCCAGACUCCUACGGGAGGCAGCAGUGGGGAAUAUUGGACAAUGGGGGAAACCCUGGUCCAGCGACGCCGCGUGGGUGAAGAAGGCCUGCGGGUUGUAAAGCCCUUUCGGUAGGGACGAAAGCUCUCGACCUAACACGUCGGGAGGUUGACUUAACCUACAAAAGAAGCACCGGCUAACUCUGUGCCAGCAGCCGCCGUAACAC
rnacentral:rRNA from 1 species